UUCAUAUAUUCGACAAACAACUCCAUCAACCCAAUAUUCUCUUGAACCUACCAACCAAAACCCAACGACUCGAUACUCCGACUGACACCAGGCUCCAGGUCAUCUUUCUGCUGGAAGGUCCGACGCCGAUUAUUUGCUCUAUACCACUGCUUGGAUUCACCAUUAAAACAUGAAGGAGUUGCACUAGCUUAGUUAUAUAAGGAAGACAAUGAUGAGGGGUUCUCUAAUUCCAAAUGCAGCUAACAGAAUCCGUUUUUAUAUACGUCACUACUCCACAAACAACGACACCUCUAGCAUAGAUCCAUUUGUCGCCCACCACCAUCUAUCGGCUAUUGAUAUUGGAAAGUAAUUCAAACAAGUCAUGACCGUUGGGUUUCCAGUUAUGCACGUUUAAUAAAGUGGCUCGAGUCUCAUGCACCACGAUCCCCGAAGAUUUGGUCUUUUUAGUUAUUUUCUUUAUUUACUAGUUGUUUGUUAUAUGUUAUCUCUGCAUGUUUCUUUUGUGUCAUGUACUUGUGGCUAUACAUAGCCUUGGUUGUUAUCAAUGAAAGUAUCCGAAAUAAUUCAAAGUA